rnacentral:rRNA from 1 species
AGAGCGAACGCUGGCGGCAGGCCUAACACAUGCAAGUCGAGCGCCCGUAGCAAUACGGGAGCGGCAGACGGGAUAGUAACACGUGGGAACGCGCCCUUCGGUUCGGAAUAACUCAGGGAAACUUGAGCUAAUACCGGAUACGCCCUUACGGGGAAAGAUUUAUUGCCGAAGGAACGGCCCGCGUCCGAUUAGCUAGUUGGUGAGGUAAUGGCUCACCAAGGCGACGAUCGGUAGCUGGUCUGAGAGGAUGACCAGCAUCACUGGGACUGAGACACGGCCCAGACUCCUACGGGAGGCAGCAGUGGGGAAUAUUGGACAAUGGGCGCAAGCCUGAUCCAGCCAUGCCGCGUGGAUGAUGAAGGCCUUAGGGUUGUAAAGUCCGUUUUAACGGGGAAGAUAAUGACGGUACCCGUAGAAUAAGCCCGGCUAACUUCGCGCCAGCAGCCGC